rnacentral:rRNA from 1 species
CCCUUAGAUGUUCUGGGCCGCACGCGCGCUACACUGAUGCAUUCAACGAGCCUAUCCUUGACCGACAGGUCCGGGUAAUCUUUGAAUCUGCAUCGUGACGGGGAUAGAUUAUUGCCAUUAUUAAUCUUCAACGAGGAAUGCCUAGUAGGCGCAAGUCAUCAGCUUGCGUCGAUUACGUCCCUGCCCUUUGUACACACCGCCCGUCGCUCCUACCGAUUGGGUGUGCUGGUGAAAUGUUCGGAUCGGCCGUUUGUCGCGGUUUCCGCGUCAUGUGGCUGAGAAGUUCAUUAAACCCUCCCACCUAGAGGAAGGAGAAGUCGUAACA